rnacentral:rRNA from 1 species
GCCAAAAACUGAAAGUAAAAUACAAUUAAGAAUCUCUAUUUAUAACUAAUAGAAACAUCCAUAAUUUAAGUAAAGGUGAUUAAACCUUAAUUAAUACACUCAUAACAUAAGUACUGUCAAGGAAUAAAUUUAAUUGUUUUCUAGUAGAGAUAUAUUCUCGUACCUUUUGUAUCAUGGCUUAGCUAGAUUUAUCAACUAAAUAAUUUAUCUAGAAAAUUAAUGAGCGACUCUAUUUUUCUUUUUAGAGAAUUAAAAGUAGGUGUGGCAAAACCUUUUUUAAAAUUUAGAGUAGAAAUGAAAUUUUAUCCGCAUUAAUUGAUAGCUAGUUUUCUCCUAAAGGCAUAGAAGUGCUCUCAACUUUAUAAAUAAUUAUAGAAACUUGUAUUAAAUUAUUAUUUUGUUGAUUUAGCUUCUUGAGGAUUAGCUCGAGAAGCACACUUAGAACGUUACAUGUAAAUCUUAAAUUAAAUUUAGGCUUGAAAGUAGCCUAUAUCUUGAGUUUGUUAUAAAUCAUUGAACCAUAUGUAAGAAAUAAUUUAUCUGUAAAAAUUUAAGGAGAAAGAUCUUGUAAACUGUAUUAAGAUAUAUAAAUGCUAAGAUGAGUAUUAAUAAAUAUUAUACACACUAAUAAGAAGUAAAAUAUAGUACUUAAAUAAAUAUAAUCAAAUGAAAUCUAUAAAAGGAACUCGGCAAACUUAUUUGCUCCGCCUGUUUAUCAAAAACAUGGCUCUGUGAAUAAUGUAAAUACAGAGUCGGACCUGCCCAGUGAAGAAUUUUUAACGGCCGCGGUACUCUGACCGUGCAAAGGUAGCAUAAUCAUUUGCCCUAUAAUUGAGGGCUAGUAUGAAUGGUUUGACGUGAGCAAAGCUGUCUCUUUUAGAUUAAGUAGAACUUAACUUACAGGUGAAGAUGCCUGUAUUAAAUUGAUAGACAAGAAGACCCUAUCGAGCUUUAAAGAAAUAUUUAGAAUAAAAUCGCCUAGCGUAAAGGACAUUUAACUGGAUAAGAUUUUGGUUGGGGCGACUAAGGAAUAAAAAAAGCUUCCUCUAUUUUAAAAGUGCUUUACAAGCAGUGAUCCAAAUUUAUUGAUCAAAGAAAUUAGUUACCGUAGGGAUAACAGCAUAAUCUUUUUUGAGAGCUCAUAUCGAAAAAAAGGUUUGUGACCUCGAUGUUGGACUAGAGUUUCCGAAAGAUGCAGAAGUCUUUGAAGGUUGGUCUGUUCGACCAUUAAAACUCUACAUGAUCUGAGUUCAGACCGGCGUGAGCCAGGUCAGUUUCUAUCUUCAAUUAUUUUAAACCUAAGCUUAGUACGAAAGGACCAGCUUAGGAGAAUUAUUUUUAACAAUGAUAUAAUAUAAUGAUAAUAUAAAAAAUACACC